GUUACGUGGUUUUUGAAGAGCGCUCUCAGAAGACGACCGACAGCGCUUGGAAAGGCAGAAGGCAGAAAGGGCAAGAACUGUGCAAUUUUGAAGGGCCAAGACCAUUUUGGAUUUCAGCCAGUGCCACCUUCACGCAAUCUCAGCACCCUAUUCCCACACAGCACAGUACAGUACAUGGACCUCAACAUUUCAAGUACCUUGGGACAAGACCAGGCCAAGUCUAAGAACAUGCAUUGAACAUGGGCAAACCCCACAAGAGACAGACAGGCGACAUAUGGUCAGAGUCAUUGUAGAUGCCAUUAGAGAAAUGUGUUUGAAUCCCACUCUGAGUCAGUGUGCUGUAGUUGCAAAGAGCAUCAUUGAACAAUACCCUAACAGUUUUGAAGACAGAACAGACGGAGGAGAUCGGAUGGGCAGUGGAUACUUCACUUUGUGUUCACAACUGAAAACAAGAGUAGACAACUUGAAUAGGAACAAUACCCUUGCACGGCUAAGAAAACCAAAACGGCCUGCGGCCACAGUAGAGUACAGUCAGCUAGAACUAUCAAGGACAUGAGCAAAAACGGACAACUAUGGCUGUAAUAACUGGCAGCCGAGCGAGCUACCUGAGGGAGAAACAAGAGUCUCUAUUUGAGAAGAAGGAGGAGCUUAAAUGCAUUUUCUCUCAAGAGGGCCACAAAGGAGCAGAUAGGGCAAGAGUGAACGAGCUGAUGAUGAUCACAUGAAGCUCAGCGUCGUGCCAUCAAUGCAGCACCUGUACUUAGUAUGCAACAGCUAAAGACUGAAUGGCCUUUCUUGUUCAUGAAGAGGUUCCUGAUGCAGCAUUUCAGUACACUUACAGGAAUUGAUCUAGAAUCGAGACUUGGGGAGUCCAUUGCUGGAAAACGAAGAAGGGUGCUCCAGUUCUUCAAGGGCCAGCUGCUGCGCUGGAAAAAAGAGGUGAGGAUAGUCCUCGCUGAUCUUGAAAGACAACCUGAAGACGUUGACCUCAGCCUUGCUCUCACAUUGGUGAUGAUGGCCUUCUUUAAAGACAGAGAAGAUUCCAUUUUCCUUCUGGCUGAUUUCAGGCAGAUGUGGAGACCCAGUUGUCCCUGUCCAACACACCAAGGAUAAUCCUACUGGGAGAUUCCAUUCUGGCAUCAAGGAAAUGGAUGUUGGCCACGGAGAGAAAGGUGGUCAUAGAAGCCACUCAUCUGCAGCUGGACUUCACCUGUGCCCUGGCUGUCCUCUUUGCAUCAUACUAUGUGUAACAUUGAGUACCAAGAAGAGGCAGCAACAACACUGGAGUUCAUCCAGAGGUUUCUCGUAAGGAUAAAUCCAGAAAAUUCAAAGUGCACAUCCAGGUUCCAUGUCAGCAAGAGCAGUGGGAAGACGGUUCAGAGGAAGACAAUGGCCCUGAAUCCACACGUGGCCUCGUUUAUCAGGGACUUCACGGAAUAUGAUUGGCAAAAUCAUUAUGGACCAUCAUAUGUGUUGGGGUCUCUGCUGCAUAUGAUGCCACCACCUACCACCAUCCUCCACAUCUGCCCCUCACCCCUAACCCUAACCCUUACCUCAUCUCUAAUGCUGCAAUUUUGUUAUUGUUCUGUG